rnacentral:rRNA from 1 species
CAGCAGCCGCGGUAAUACGGAGGGGGCUAGCGUUGUUCGGAAUUACUGGGCGUAAAGCGCACGUAGGCGGCUUGGUAAGUUAGAGGUGAAAGCCUGGAGCUCAACUCCAGAAUUGCCUUUAAGACUGCCGAGCUAGCAGGUGAGAGAGGGAAGUGGAAUUCCGAGUGUAGAGGUGAAAUUCGUAGAUAUUCGGAAGAACACCAGUGGCGAAGGCGGCUUACUGGCUCAUACUGGACGCUGAGGUGCGAAAGCGUGGGGAGCAAACAGGAUUAGAUACCCCUGUAGUCCCUGUCUCUUAUAC